UAGAGGCUAUUGAUUGCCCUAAAAAUAGAAAAUUCGGUAUAAGUCCAGCUCGUACAUGGUAAUUGUAGAGGCUGCUCUUGAUUUAUAGACAGAGACAGAGAUCAAAGAUUUGGGUAUUGGGUUGGUUUAUUUGGUCCAAUUGCAAUUUGCAUGCCCACCCCCAUUUAAUAUUCACACCCAAUCCAUCCCCAACUACCAAAACCACCCAAACCAAAGCAGCAAUAAGUAACUCCAACGACUUCCCCCUCCACGCUUUUCCAGUGUCUUUGGAUACUUUCACCACCCGGCGCAUUUCACCAAACCAUAGUUACAAAAUGGCGCACCCAAUUGCGGGGGCGAACGACCAAAGCCCCUUCGGCUCUUUGACCCCUGACGCCUUCUAUUCCCGCCACAAAGUCUCUCACGCCUCCGAGUACAUCACGAAUCCCAGAGGCCUCAAGCUCUUCACCCAGUGGUGGACCCCACUCCCUCCCACUCCUGUUGUCGGAACUCUAGCCAUCGUCCACGGCUACACCGGCGAGACCAGCUGGUUCGUCCAGCUCACCGCCGUCCACUUCGCCAAGUCCGGCUUCGCCGUCUGUGCCAUCGACCACCAGGGCCACGGCUUCUCCGACGGCCUCGUCGCCCACAUUCCCGACAUCAACCCCGUCGUCGAUGACUGCAUCUCCUUUUUCGACUCCUUCCGCGCCCGCCACGCGCCGCCCAACCUCCCCGCCUUCCUCUACGCCGAGUCCCUCGGCGGCGCGAUAGCCCUACUCAUCACGCUCAGACAAGGGAGUGGCGCGUGGAACGGCCUCAUCCUCAACGGCGCCAUGUGCGGGAUCAGCGCCAAGAUCAAGCCGCCGUGGCCGCUUGAGCACCUGCUCGCGCCGGGCCCUGGCGUGCAAGGUGGAGUUGAAGCGAAGCCUGGCGCUGGCGAGCCCGAGGAGGACGGUGGCGAGGCCGCGGGCGGCGACGGCGCUUGAGCUGCUGAGGGUGUGCAAGGAGCUUCAGGCGAGGUUCGAGGAGGUGGAGGUACCGCUGCUGAUCGUCCACCGCGCGUCGAGCAAGGACAAGACGCUGAGGAUCCACGAGGGCAUGUGGCACCAGCUGGUUGGUGAAACCCAGGAGGACGUCGACUUGGUGUUCGGCGAAAUGGUGGCGUGGCUUCGUGCUCGAGCUGAACGCGCCUCCCCCGCUGCCGUCGCGAGCGGUGGUGCUGCCUAGUCUAGUCUAUAGGUUAAUAAGGUUUUAGUGAUGUGAUCACUGUGUUAAGUUAAACUUAGUUGGAACAGAGAAGGAAGAAGCAGCAUAAGCAGCCAAUGGAAGCAUGCCAUGUCACUUGAAGUUUAAAUAAAAAUUAUUAAUUCAUAUAGAAUUAAUAUGAUAAAGCAAA